UUUUACACACUGAGUACAUAAAUAUUUUCUGUGGAGAUCAUUAAAAGUUUUCUGAUAAAAGAAUGAAUUUAAUUGAAGUUAGCAAGGAAUUGCGAAUUUUUAAGUAUUUGAAAAAUGCCGGAUGCGUUGUUUGCACGUAAAGUAGCCUAAUUUACCAAAGGCUGGAAUUGACUCACAUCCGUGUGCUCCGGUAGACUUCGCCGUCGCUCGUUUUGUUCGGUCACCGCUGUUCUCGCUCCCACUGCUUAAUACAUUGCCAUAUCCUUUGUGCUCUGCGUGCUUGUUACGCAUCGAUUUGGGCUAAACGUUAGAUACCACCUAACAAUUAUUUGGGUGUAGUGUUUUGCUGGUAAAUAUAAUAUACUCGCUAACUGGAUUUAAUGACGGGAACUUUAUGGAAAUGCUGUUUAUUAAUUAAAAAUGCGGUCAUUUAUUCAAGACUAAAACUCGGUUCGAAUAUCUUGUGGGUUCUUGUUUACUGCAUCUUUCAUUUUGUAAAUGAAUCAGAAAACAUCUCGGGAUCUCGGAGCUGUAACCGCGGGAUUUCGGGACAUGGAAAAGUGUCCGGGAUCCCGGAAUUCUGGAUCCCGGGUUUGAAUGCCCUAAUAUGUACAUAUGUAUGUAAAUUUGUGCAAAUUAAAAUGAAAUAAAAAGGAAAUAGAGUAUAAAAA